AACGAACGCUGGCGGCAUGCCUAACACAUGCAAGUCGAACGAGACCUUCGGGUCUAUUGGCGCACGGUUGCGUAACGCGUGGGAACCUUCCCUUAGGUUCGGAAUAACUCUCCGACAGGGGUGCUAAUACCGGAUAAUGUCUUCGGACCAAAGAUUUAUCGCCUUUGGAUGGGCCCGCGUUGGAUUAGCUAGUUGGUAGGGUAAAAGCCUACCAAGGCGACGAUCCAUAGCUGGUCUGAGAGGAUGAUCAGCCACACUGGGACUGAGACACGGCCCAGACUCCUACGGGAGGCAGCAGUGCGUAAUAUUGGACAAUGGGCGAAAGCCUGAUCCAGCAAUGCCGCGUGAGUGAUGAAGGCCUUAGGGUUGUAAAGCUCUUUUACCCGGGAUGAUAAUGACAGUACCGGGAGAGUAAGCUCCGGCUAACUCCGUG
rnacentral:rRNA from 1 species